GCAGAAGAAGCACCGGCUAACUCCGUGCCAGCAGCCGCGGUAAUACGGAGGGUGCGAGCGUUAAUCGGAAUUACUGGGCGUAAAGCGCAUGCAGGUGGUUGUUAAGUCAGAUGUGAAAGACCGGGCCGUCAACCUCGGAAUUGCAUUUGAAACUGGCAGACUAGAGUACUGUAGAGGGGGUAGAAUUUCAGGUGUAGCGGUGAAAAUGCGUAGAGAUCUGAAGGAAUACCAGUGGCGAAGGCGGCCCCCUGGACAAAGACUGACGCUCAGAUGCGAAAGCGUGGGGAGCAAACAGGAUUAGAUACCCUGGUAG
rnacentral:rRNA from 1 species